GGCUAGAAAGCUAUGAAGGAAACAGCAUCAGCCUUUUAAGCUGAAGGAAGGUGGCUACCGACCACCUCUAGCCA
rnacentral:tRNA from 1 species